rnacentral:rRNA from 1 species
UUUCGCUCUUCAACGAGGAAUCUCUAGUAAGCACAAGUCAUCAGCUUGUGCUGAUUACGUCCCUGCCCUUUGUACACACCGCCCGUCGCUACUACCGAUUGAAUGGCUUAGUGAGGCCCUCGGAUCGAUUUUCUGAGACUGGCAACAGUCUUUGAUUGUUGAGAAGUUGGUCAAACUUGGUCAUUUAGAGGAAGUAAAAGUCGUAACAAGGUUUCCGUAGGUGAACCUGCGGAAGGAUCAUUAUUAUUUGGGUCGGGUUUACCUCUUGUCUAGUUUUUUGUGCUCAAUAAUUCAAGAGGGAGGUAAACUUUUACCAAAUAAAUCCUAUUUCCAAAUAGGAGCAAGAACCCUUAUAUUUAAAACCCACUCUUAAAAUAUUAUUUAUGUAUUUUGAAUGAUAAAAAUUAAAGAUCACUUUCAACAACGGAUCUCUUGGCUCUCGCAUCGAUGAAGAACGUAGCGAAGUGCGAUAAGUAAUGUGAAUUGCAGAAUUCCGUGAAUCAUCGAAUCUUUGAACGCAAAUUGCACUUUCUGGUAUUCCGGAAAGUAUGCCUGUUUGAGGGUCAGUUAAAUAAAAAUCGGUGUUGUUGCUACCCGUAGUGGUGUGGUUAAUGCAUCGGAAUUGAGUUGUCUUUACCUUUUUUUGGUUAAGUGACUUAAAAAUUAUGUACGAUUUUUGAACGUAUUUAAAUUUAUUUAUGUUUGUUCAUAAUAAUCAAAUAUUUAGGUGCGGUCAUUCUCAUGAUUACGCGUCUAUUAAAUUUUCAUUAUUUUGACCUCAUAUCAGGUAAGAAUACCCGCUGAACUUAAGCAUAUCAAUUAAGCGGAGGAAAAGAAAAUAUAAUGAUUCCCUUAGUAACGGCGAGUGAAAGGGGGAUAAGCUCAAAAUUUUAAAUCUGCUAGGUCUUACCUAUCAGAGUUGUAUUUUUGAAGAAGCGUUUUCCGCGUCUCGGUUGACCCAAAAUCCUUUGGGAUAAGGUAUCAUGGAGGGUGAGAAUCCCGUUCGGUUGACCUUAUGACGCUUUACGAUACGUUUUCUAAGAGUCGAGUUGUUUGGGAUUGCAGCUCAAAAUGGGAGGUAAAUUUCUCCUAAGGCUAAAUAUUGGCGAGAGACCGAUAGCGAACAAGUACCGUGAGGGAAAGAUGAAAAGAACUUUGAAAAGAGAGUAAAAUAGUACGUGAAAUUGUUGAAAGGGAAACGAUUGAAGUCAGUCGUACCGACGGAAAAUCAACUUUUUGAGUGCGGACUUGUGGGUUUACGUGAGCUUUACGGUCUCGUUGUUUGCAAUGUUCGUUCUUUUUGGGUGUACUUUUUCGUAUGGUUGGCCAAUGUCAGUUUCGAUCACUAUAAAAUGACCGGCGGAAUGUAGCUUCGAUCUCGUAUUGAAGUGUUAUAGCCUCUGGUAGAUGUGGUGAUUGGGACUGAGGAUUGCAACGAAUACCUUCUGGGCUAUCCGUCUGAUCUCUGAAAGUUGCUUAGGUGCCGAAAGCGCGCUUACGGUUAUUUAAGUUGACGGUCAAAAGGUUAGAACGUGAUUAUAUUCGUUAAGGAUGUUGGCGUAGUGGCUUUAAACGACCCGUCUUGAAACACGGACCAAGGAGUCUAACAUGUGUGCGAGUGUUU